GCCGCCAUAGCUCAGUCGGUAGAGCGGCUGAUUUGUAAUCAGCAGGUCGGGAGUUCGAGCCUCCCUGGCGGCU
rnacentral:tRNA from 2 species